CAGUGGGGGGCGGCCUAACCAUGCAGUCGAACGAAGUAGCAAUACUUAGUGGCAGACGGGUGAGUAACAUGUAGGUAUCUGCCCUUUGGCCUGGAAUAACACGAGGAAACUUGUGCUAAUACCGGAUAAGUCUUUACGGAGAAAGCUUUACGCACCAUUGGAUGAGCCUGCACUUGAUUAGUUUGUUGGUGGGGUAAUGGCCUACCAAGACUGUGAUCAAUAGCUGAUUUGAGAGGAUGAUCAGCCACAUUGGGACUGAGACACGGCCCAAACUCCUACGGGAGGCAGCAGUGGGGAAUCUUGCACAAUGGAGGAAACUCUGAUGCAGCGAUGCCGCGUGAGUGAAGAAGGCCCUUGGGUUGUAAAGCUCUUUCGUCGGGGAAGAAAAUGACUGUACCCGAAUAAGAAGGUCCGGCUAACUUCGUGCCAGCAGCCGCGGUAAUACGAAGGGACCUAGCGUAGUUCGGAAUUACUGGGCUUAAAGAGUUCGUAGGUGGUUGAAAAAGUUAGUGGUGAAAUCCCAGAGCUUAACUCUGGAACUGCCAUUAAAACUUUUCAGCUAGAGUAUGAUAGAGGAAAGCAGAAUUUCUAGUGUAGAGGUGAAAUUCGUAGAUAUUAGAAAGAAUACCAAUUGCGAAGGCAGCUUUCUGGAUCAUUACUGACACUGAGGAACGAAAGCAUGGGUAGCGAAGAGGAUUAGAUACCCUCGUAGUCCAUGCCGUAAACGAUGUGUGUUAGACGUUGGAAAUUUAUUUUCAGUGUCGCAGGGAAACCGAUAAACACACCGCCUGGGGAGUACGACCGCAAGGUUAAAACUCAAAUGAAUUGACGGGGACCCGCACAAGUAGUGGAGCAUGUGGUUUAAUUCGAAGAUACGCGCAGAACCUUACCAACACUUGACAUGUUCGUCGCGACUCUAAGAGAUUAGAGUUUUCGGUUCGGCCGGACGAAACACAGGUGCUGCAUGGCUGUCGUCAGCUCGUGUCGUGAGAUGUUGGGUUAAGUCCCGCAACGAGCGCAACCCUCACUUUUAGUUGCCAUCAUUAAGUUGGGCACUCUGAAAGAACUGCCAGUGAUAAGCUGGAGGAAGGUGGGGAUGACGUCAAGUCCUCAUGGCCCUUACGUGUUGGGCUACACACGUGCUACAAUGGUAUCUACAACAGGAAGCAAGACUGCGAAGUUAAGCAAAUCCCUAAAAGAUACCUCAGUUCGGAUUGCACUCUGCAACUCGAGUGCAUGAAGCUGGAAUUACUAGUAAUCGUGGAUCAGCGUGCCACGGUGAAUGCGUUCCCGGGUCUUGUACACACCGCCCGUCACACCAUGGGAGUUGGUUCUACCUUAAGGCAAGGUUAAAACCCUGACCCCCCCGAUUUUCCCGGG
rnacentral:rRNA from 1 species